UUUUUUUUCUUGCCGGCGACUUCCGGUGACAACAAAGAUCAGAGAAAACGAGCUGGGAGGUUUUUCAAGCCAGGCCAUUUCUGGAGUUCAUAGCUGGGAGCAUUUCAGAUGCUGUUUCCGGGCCUGACCACCAGCGUCCUCAACUCCAUCACCUUUGGUGCUUACGUCAAUGGUUUGGAUUACCUCACUCAGUCUCAGCGCAGUCAGUGCAGUCAGACCGGCCUCUGAUACACAUGUCUUUACGGUUGGCUGUUUUUCAGGUGUGAUGCAGGUAAGAAAGAACGCUUGAGGGUUUUUUUUUUUUUUUUUUUGUGGGGGGUGCUUAUUCUCACAAAUCAGCCUGCAGAGUCGCAGCUGCACUGUAGUUUUUCCUGGACACCUGCUCACAGUGUCAGUUAUUAAUGUCAGAUAACUGACUGGAGCAGAUAAGAAUGGUUUAACUUUAGCAGGUGGCCAGUGGUGGACAAAGUACUCAACUCUAGUACUUGAGUAAAAGUACUGAUACUCAUUGUCAAAUCUUACUCAACUACAAAUAAAAGUUGCUCGGU